rnacentral:rRNA from 1 species
GAUGAACGCUGGCGGCGUGCCUAAUACAUGCAAGUCGAGCGAACAGACGAGGAGCUUGCUCCUCUGACGUUAGCGGCGGACGGGUGAGUAACACGUGGAUAACCUACCUAUAAGACUGGGAUAACUUCGGGAAACCGGAGCUAAUACCGGAUAACAUGUUGAACCGCAUGGUUCAACAGUGAAAGACGGUCUUGCUGUCACUUAUAGAUGGAUCCGCGCCGCAUUAGCUAGUUGGUAAGGUAACGGCUUACCAAGGCAUCGAUGCGUAGCCGACCUGAGAGGGUGAUCGGCCACACUGGAACUGAGACACGGUCCAGACUCCUACGGGAGGCAGCAGUAGGGAAUCUUCCGCAAUGGGCGAAAGCCUGACGGAGCAACGCCGCGUGAGUGAAGAAGGUCUUCGGAUCGUAAAACUCUGUUAUUAGGGAAGAACAAAUGUGUAAGUAACUAUGCACGUCUUGACGGUACCUAAUCAGAAAGCCACGGCUAACUACGUG